rnacentral:rRNA from 1 species
AUGUUGCCCCAACAUCUAGUUCAGUACCAGAGGGACAACUCAGUUAACCUGUCGUUUACUUGUAGGCACUCGGCGCUUUACCCGAAAGCCAUGGAGGUGGUAAGGAUGCGUGAUGCGAGUGCAGCAGCUUUCGAUGAUGUGUUCGCCGGUCUGAACGCUCUACUGUUGAGUGGCGCACCUUUCGCAGAAAAGCGGGAUGGUUACGGUUUUGAGGACCACAUGGCUGGCUUAACUCCUGGUACAUUACCAGGCAAUGGAGAGAUCGCAUAUGUUGGGGACAAGGGUGCUGAUAGAUGCAUCAGUACUGGAAACUCAAUUAGGGCGAAUGGUUUGCAUUGUCUAAUAGUACCAGAGAAGCAGAGGGGGUUGGAAGACCUACAAACAGCAGAGAGAAGGCACCGUACAAGGGGCUCAGUAAGCGCACAAGAUUCUGCAGCAUUUGCCGGCGCGGGAGUCACAACAGACUACAUACCUCGAAAGAGGGGAUGCCCCGAAGAAACCACGGAAGCCCGAGAGAUGCAGGAAUUGUCGAAUGGAAGGGACCGGCGGACAACGCGCACAAGAUCUUUGGAUGCUGCUGAAAAUGAAGUCUGA